UUUUUCAGAGACCAAGGCCCACAGGAUGGAAAUAACAUGUCUCAAGUCACCAACUAGACGACAAGUCAGGGCUCUAAGUUCCUGCUUUGUUUUGUCAACUUACCCAUUUUUCAGAUAUUGCUUUCUGCAAAGCCUGUAAUGAGUUUUCCAGCUUGGUUUCUCCAUGUGCUGAGAACUCCUCCCUGUCCCUGAGGUGUCUGCUGCUUCUGGGCGGUGGCUUUGUUGUGCAGGUGCCCCCGCCUCUCCUGCCACCAGCCCUGUCCUGCUGCACUCGGCUCACCUCCAGUCUCAUCUCACUCCAGGCAUCCCUCGCUGCCUCCUCUUUCUUACCUGCCAUCCUUAAACUUGCUGCAAAAUGUCUUCUGACCCCAUGUGAUAAGUGGCAUUUAGAGUGUUAAUCAUAAGAGGUUAUGAAUGCUCUCAGAGAACUUCUUCAAGUGUGUGUAUUUGGAGGGGUGGGGGACCAAGGGAGGGCAUGGUGGGGGGAGGGUGAGUGAGCAGGAUCAAGGGAUAGAAGCUGGUCUUAAAGCCCCAACCCUCCCCCCUCCUGUAUGAGUCACAGGGGCAUGCAGUUCCCUCCUUUUGGUCCCCUUGACUAUCCCAGGUGCCAAAGACCUCAGCCAGGGCUGGGCUUGGCAAUAAGAGUGCAGAGGAAUUUCUUGGGUGUUUACGAAUCAUCAGACGUUACAGAGUAACACCAGGCAAGCUAUACCUCUGCUCUCAGAAGCCUUUAAUAUACCUCUGUCAAGUCCGGUUCCCCAUUUGCUCUUAAGAAGUUCCCAACUCCCAAGCAGGGCUGGAGGUGCAUUGACCAGAAGAUCUCUCCCGUCGUCCCUAGAGGGUGGGGAAAGAUUCCCCCGGCCACCAGCCCUGAGGAGGGACUACUGAGUCACAGGAGUAGAGUAGGGGGGCCUUUAAUAAUCACUGUAAUCCCUCUUAACUUAGAGCGGACUGAGAAAUUGCCCAUGGGUUCCAUUAAAAAUGUGGUCAGUGAACCUAUCGAAGGACACGAAGACUACCACAUGAUGGCGUUUCAGUUGGGCCCCACGGAAGCCUCUUACUACUGGGUGUACUGGGUUCCAACUCAAUAUGUGGAUGCAAUCAAAGACACUGUGCUGGGGAAAUGGCAGUAUUUUUGAAAGCACUUUCACCUCUGGCCCAGGAGACUGACCCAAAGUGAAGGACAUUGCUGGGAGAGGCCUGCAGCAUCCCUGGAUUUCAGAGUUCUGGAACUUUGUUCAAAAAAAAUCUAUAUCCAAUCUAAGGUGAUGUGGUGACUGAAGCCAGAGGUGAUGUACUUUCACCAUUAGCUUAAUUUUAACUUAAAAUCACCAGUUCCCUUUCUUGCAGUCAGCUUCAUACCAUUUUUAAAAGUCAAUAUGGUGGAAAUCAAUAAAUCUGAAUUCUGAA